rnacentral:lncRNA from 1 species
UUUUAUUGAACAAUAAAUACAUCUAUAGAGAACAACAUAAUUUUAUGUUCAGUCAUUCAUACAUUAUCAAAUAACAACAUAAUUCAUCACAUUUGUACAAAAACUUCUCAUUCAAUAUACAAAAAUAAGAUUAGAAAAAAAAAAGAAAAAAAAAACAUAAAAUAGUAGCAUAAAUAAUAUAAAACAUAUUAUAAUAAAAAAGAAAAAAUGGAGUAG